AAAUCUCGACCGGGGCGACAGCAAUAUGAAGGUCAAGGCUGAAGACCUUACCGGAUUAGCUGAGAGGUGGUGCAUGGCCGUCGUCAGUUCGUACUGUGAAGCACCCUGUUAAGUCAGGCAACGAGCGAGACCCACGCCCACAGUUGCCAGCGUACUCUCUGGAGUGACGGGUACACUGUGGGACCGCCGCUGCUAAAGCGGAGGAAGGAAUGGGCAACGGUAGGUCAGUAUGCCCCGAAUAUCCCGGGCUACACGCGAGCUACAAUGGUUGGUACAAUGGGUAUCUACCCCGAAAGGGGACGGGAAUCUCCUAAAACCAAUCUUAGUUCGGAUUGAGGGCUGCAACUCGCCCUCAUGAAGCUGGAAUCCGUAGUAAUCGCGUUUCAACAGAACGCGGUGAAUACGUCCCUGCUCCUU
rnacentral:rRNA from 1 species